UACGGGGGGGGUAAGCGUUGUUCGGAAUUACUGGGCGUAAAGGGCUCGUAGGCGGCCAACUAAGUCAUACGUGAAAUCCCUCAGCUUAACUGGGGAACUGCGUGUGAUACUGGAUGGCUUGGAUUUGGGAGAGGGAUGCGGAAUUCCAGGUGUAGCGGUGAAAUGCGUAGAUAUUGGGAGGAACACCAGUGGCGAAGGCGGCUCACUGGACCGGAACUGACGCUGAGGCGCGAAAGCGUGGGGAGCAAACAGG
rnacentral:rRNA from 1 species